GGGUGUCUGCCACACUUACGAGUUCCACUAUUCAAGUUUUGAGCGUAUUUGAAAUCAAAAACUUGACACGUUGAGCUCGUGUGUGCGUUGCGGAAAUCAACUUACUCA
rnacentral:miRNA from 13 species